rnacentral:rRNA from 1 species
UACGGGGGGGGCAAGCGUUGUUCGGAAUUACUGGGCGUAAAGGGCUCGUAGGUGGCCAACUAAGUCAGACGUGAAAUCCCUCAGCUUAACUGGGGAACUGCGUCUGAUACUGGAUGGCUUGAGUUUGGGAGAGGGAUGCGGAAUUCCAGGUGUAGCGGUGAAAUGCGUAGAUGUCUGGAGGAACACCGGUGGCGAAGGCGGCAUCCUGGACCAACACUGACACUGAGGAGCGAAAGCCAGGGGAGCAAACAGG